AAUAACAAAAACAGCUGUGCUUUGUUUGUAUGAAGAAAAUUUCAUUUUCGUUUUUGGAAAUAAAAUAAGCACCAGGGCCGGUUGCGAAAAUGUCUGCAGAGAGUAAAGCCGGUUCAGUUUGGACGAGAAGCGAAACGCUCUUGUUAAUAAAGGAGUUUGCGAAGAGACCAUUUCUAUAUCAAGCGUCACAUCCCGAUUUCUUAAAAAUCCCAAAAAAAAGGGCCGCCUAUUUAGAAAUAGUGCAGGAACUAAAAGAUGUGAAGGAGAACGUUGACGAAGUCCAAGUAAAGAAUAAAAUAAGAACCUUGACCCAGCAAAUGAGGCAGGAAAAACAUAAAAUGAGAAAGAAGAGCGAAAUGGGAUCUGAAGAGGUAUUUAGAAGCAGUUUGUGGUGCUUUGAGGAGCUGUCGUUUCUGCUGAAUGCCAACGACGAAAACGACAGCACAGCAAGUGUAUCAGUGGCGGAGGUUACUCAAAGUAAUGAAUUGUGUGAGCUGGAAGAGGAGCCGCAGCCAAAGAAGAAGAAGAGUGACAAUCAGAUGGAAAAACUGGUAACAGUGGCGGAGCAAUCAAUGGAAAUGAUAGCAUCUCUUUCAAAUAAGUCACAAUCGCCUAUAGAUGCCUUCUGCCGUUUUAUAGCUUCAGAAAUGAAGCAUCUGAAAUAUGAGGAAAGCAUUGACAAACUUCAGAUGAUGAUUUUGAGCGACAUCACUAAAAUUAAACAAGAAGAAAGGCAAAUGCAUCGAAAUCCUCAUUCCUGGAGAUAUGGGUCGGAGUUGUCUGCAACAAGGAUGCCAAUACCAUUUGAAUCUAAUAUACAAUGUUCAGAUAAUGCAAACAUCACUUCAAAUACUUCAACUUCUUCAGAAGUAGAUUACAAUUAUGGAAUAUCAACGUCUGCCACACAAACCACUUCAAAUUCAAAAUUUUCUGUGGAAGAAAUAUCUAUCAAACAAGAGUAACGAGUAUCAAUAAUCAUUAUGAGUAUCGAUGUGAACUUAUCAGUUUCAACUUCCUCCAUCCUGCAAUUUUUACUUUCGAUUACUAAAUCUCGAGCGAAAUGUAUAACACCCGAGACUAAUUUAUAACACUAGAUAUUUUGCCAACGUAGCAAGAUUAUCCUGAAAUUAUAUGAUUUGAUAGAUAAAGUGUGAUUUGAUUCAAUAUAUAUAUUUAUGAAAAAUAUAAAUAUCUUACAAUGCUAUAAAAAAUAUUAGACUACUCUCAAAAUGUUCGAUGAGGCAACAAAAUUUGACAAGUCGAGAGUGAAUCUAGAUUGAAUUCAGGUUUACUAAUCAAAAACUUAAUAAUUAUACACGUUUCUUAAAUAACAGUAAUUUUCACGUUCAGUUUAAUUAAUAAUAUAUUUAAAUUGCAGUUCACAUAAAUAAGACGUCAACCAUCAAACCAAAAUACACUCCAUCUCACGCCCUAUGCAGUAACAACGUUAACGGAUCAACACAAGUACCAAAUGCUACAAUAUAGCUUACCACAUAUAUUUUAUUUUUAAUCAUAAUAAUAUUAAUUUCUAAUAUUAGAGUUAAGAAAUAAAUUUACAAUAUUAAGUAACAAAUUUUUAAUAUAGAAAUUUUGCCUAUGUAAACACAACUGACUGAAUAAACACUGACUCUGAGUUUCAAAUUUAACAGGGUACGAGUUGAACCCUCGGAUACUUGCAGGCUCAAAAAAUUAUUUACGAAUAAUUAAAUGCGAGAAAUAAAUCCAAGACUACCGAUGUUGGGUAUUUGGCAGUACUCGAAACGGCUGUAAGGUCAACAAAAAUUCAAUUAAUUAAAAAAAAUUUAUUGUAAUUUACUACUG